CCCUACGGGAGGCAGCAGUGGGGAAUAUUGGACAAUGGGCGAAAGCCUGAUCCAGCAAUGCCGCGUGAGUGAUGAAGGCCUUAGGGUUGUAAAGCUCUUUUACCCGGGAUGAUAAUGACAGUACCGGGAGAAUAAGCUCCGGCUAACUCCGUG
rnacentral:rRNA from 1 species